CUCUGAUUCCCCGCCCAGCCCAGUUCCAGGAAUGCUCAGGCAGAGGCCUUUUCUGAUUCUGACAGGUUCGAGGCCACGCUCCGCACUUCCAGCUCUGCCUUAUCUUCAUCCUCAGUUCCCCUCCUGGUGCAAUAAACACAAGGCCUGGCCCCCACCAAUCCAGGAUUCCGGUAUCUUGGUGACAGCAGCCGGGACAACCUGGGAUCCCCCCCCCCCCCCCCCGCCUGAGCACACCGCAGGGGUCACCGCACUCAGGGUCAGUAAGUUCAAUGAGUUGGUCACUGAGAAGUGGAUGCAAGUCAGUGACGCUUGCACAUGGCAGCUAAGCUGUUUUCCACCUUCUCCUGGGAAGCUUGGGCUUGCGUUCUUGAGUGUUUUCUUUGGGCGAUUCCUGAGUCCGCGCCUAGUAUCUUCUUACCUAUCUUCUCUCUGGUGACAAAUCUGGGUUCAAAACGACAGACAGUCCUCCUGAUCCGAAGCCGGAAACGAAAAGGCACUUCAGAUCAGCAUUCCCAGUAAGUGAAGGACUGACUCCGAUUUGGAUUUCUGUUUUCAUUUGGGCAUUUGAUGCUGCGGUCUGUGCCAGAGCCACAUCAAGUCGUGUGUCUUGAUCACAGAGCAUCCCCAUCACCAGGUACUGCUCUUGGCACACUCUCCUGAUCUGGUGCACAGGGAGAACUCAGACCCAGGAUCCUGAGGAUCUGGAGACAUGGAGUGCCAGCAGAGUGCAAACCCAAAGCCUGGUCUGGCUGAGAAGAGGCAAGAGGGAGAGGAGUGAGGCUGCAGGGUUUAUAAAGGAAGACUGCAGCCCCAGUCUGCCUCGGGUGUGUCCUCUGCCCUUGCACCUUUGGAAUGUGGCUGACUGACUCUGUCAGGGACUUGUGCUGUCCACUGCCUUGGAUCUCACAUCUGGAAGCUGAACUCCAAGAGGAGCAAGAGCUUCUGCAAAUGAUGCCAGCUGUGAAGGUUAACAGAGCACCGGAAGUGCUUUAGAAGAAGGAUGCUAGGCUGCUGACCCCCACCAAAGCCUGGGAGAAAGUCCUUGUCCCAGCUGUGAAGCUACCACUCCACUAGAGUCUCUACUGGAACAGUCUGGGGAGAGGACAAGAGAUUAGGUCUCAGUUAAAAGACUUCUUACCUAAGGAUUUUCUAAUUGUGCAAGCCAGAGAAGGGCUACUAGCUUCUGUGUUAGCUGUCAAGCUAGCUCUUCCAAAGGGGAGGCCAUGAUAUUACAGGUCUGCAGAUUUCAAUGGCUUCCAGCAAGAUCCCAGGCUGGCCUCUCCUUAGCUUGAGCCAGCUCCUAACUGAUGCCUGAAAGGUUCUCCAAGCAGGUGAUUGCACUGAUGUGGGCAUCAGAUGCUCACUCUAGCACAAAAGCUUGCAUUACCUCUAGAGUAGGGAUCCUCCACUAGUGACACUCAAUUCUGUUAGCGACUGUAUGGGACUGGCUACAGGAGCUUGUACCCAGCACUAUCCUCAACUAUGAGCUUUUAUCUACCAAGGCUGUACCUUCAGCUAAGUCCUCCACUUAAGUAAUUAGCUCACUUUCUUCAUCCUAUUUCCUGGGAUUCUCUUAAGAAUUGAAUGAAACAGUGCAUCCGGAUUUCUUUUUUUGUUUGUUUGCUUGUUUUUGCUUUAUGUUUUUGGUUUUGUUUUUCGAGACAGGGUUUCUCUGUAUUGUUUUGGAGGCUGUCCUGGAACUCACUC